GUGUAUUCAAUUUUGUUAUAUUUUGCAGUAUAUUGACGAGUCGUUGUGACAAGCUGAAACUAUGAUGGAAAAAGAUAAUCCAGGUUACGUAUAUGCCUACGCCUGGAACCGUCGAAAUAUGGGCCUAGUUGGCGGAUGGCCCGAAGACAAUCAGAAUAUAAUAGUCAGAAAUUGUGCAUGGAUAUACGCUUUGAUUGUUUUGCUGUUCAUUUGGUUACCGAUGAGUGCUAGCGUGUUUUUUCUCAGUAAUAGUUUAAGCGAAUUGAUCAACGCUAUUGUCGUUAAUGGUCCCGUUGUAGUUUCGAUCUACAAACUUUGGCUUUUUCGAGCGAAGAGAGAAGUUAUGGUGGAUUUUUUAUGUGCGAUGGCUAGAGAUUGGGCGGAACAAAGAACGAACGAAGAAAUGGAAGCGAUGAUGCGAAGGGCUAAAUGGACCAGGCUGAUAUCAGCUAUGUCCAUCCUGAUAUCGAGCACCAUGUGUUUAACAUUUACGGUGGUUGGGCCGUGCAGGAAUGAUCGAAGAUUCCUUCAACUUCAUGCUCUUGGUUCAAGUGGUGAAUUGCAGUAUUUUAUUCUGCUUUCAAGGCUACGUUAUUAUCACGAGUACUUCUUUGAGCUAUGCCGCUUACGAAUCGCAGUGGUAUCUUUUGAAACCUAACGAAGCUCGAUCACUGAUGAUGUUAACGUACCGAGCUCGAAUCCCUCUUGAAAUAACUGCAGGAAAAUUCGUCGGAUUUUCACUCGAACUUUUCACCACUAUCAUGAAAACCUCGAUGGGCUACUUGUCAGUUCUACUGGCUGUGGAAAAGUCUUGAAAUCAUGGAUUAUUUUUGGGACACGAAUAGUGGAAACAUUUAGCUUAGAAGCGUACCUAGAAAUCACUUUCACGUA